rnacentral:lncRNA from 1 species
GCAAAGUAGGAGACCAGUUUCAAUUGAACUCAUAUUCUUGGAUUGAUCAAGAUAAGAAAAGCCAAAUAUUAGCUCCUUGUCAGGCUCUAAAUUCUAGAGCGCAACUCUGGCCAGAUAUAGUCUCUUCAUCUAUAAAAAGGCUCAAAGCUCUAGGUACGAGAAUGAAGUUACAAGCUCUAUACUUCCUCUUCUCCUUCAUCUUUCUACAUAUCCUAUUCCCCAAAGCCCUGUCCGAUGUAAGCAUUGGAGUGCUGGAUCAGCUUCGAUGACCUCCUUUGCUCUUCUUUUUGUGUGUAGACCGGUGCUUAUCUUCCACCACAGUAGAUUAAUCAAUAACUUCCUCAUCUUUAGAUCACGAGACAAGAUUUUGGCAGCAACAAGCUCUACAACAAUUAAGAAACCAAAUCUUGAAAACUGGGUAGCCAAUUUCCGCUCAACUAUGACUUUUCUAAAGAUAAACAUUAGGUGGCUGGCCACUAGGGAUCAAAGUGGGUUGUACCGACCACAUCACAUUUGAUCUCACGCAAAAAAGAAACCAAGAAACCAAGAAACCAAGCAAAUCACAUACAAUAUACAUGAUGCCAUGGAAGGCUAUAUCGCUUGGUUUGGAAUGUAUCGAGCUGUAUUUGAGGUGAAUCGGUAUGAUUUUGCCCCUCAGUUCAAGAAACUAGUAAGAGAGAGCGAGAGGAAAAAUGAAAGAGAGGAAGAGAGAGAGUGAGGGAGAAAGGGAUGGAGAGAGAGAGAUAAAG